rnacentral:rRNA from 1 species
GGAAGGCCCUUGGGUUGUAAACCUCUUUUCUCAGGGAAGAAGAUCUGACGGUACCUGAGGAAUAAGCAUCGGCUAACUCCGUGCCAGCAGCCGCGGUAAUACGGAGGAUGCAAGCGUUAUCCGGAAUUAUUGGGCGUAAAGCGUCCGCAGGUGGUCUUUCAAGUCUGCUGUCAAAGACCAGAGCUUAACUCUGGGCAGGCGGUGGAAACUGAGAGACUAGAGUUCGGUAGGGGUAGCGGGAAUUCCCAGUGUAGCGGUGAAAUGCGUAGAUAUUGGGAAGAACAUCGGUGGCGAAGGCGUGUU